rnacentral:rRNA from 1 species
ACGAACGCUGGCGGCAUGCCUCACCCCUGCCAGUCGCACGAGACCUUCGGGUCUAGUGGCGCACGGGUGCGUAACGCGUGGGAACCUGCCCUUAGGUUCGGAAUAACUCCCCGAAAGGGGUGCUAAUACCGGAUAAUGUCUUCGGACCAAAGAUUUAUCGCCUUUGGAUGGGCCCGCGUUGGAUUAGCUAGUUGGUAGGGUAAAAGCCUACCAAGGCGACGAUCCAUAGCUGGUCUGAGAGGAUGAUCAGCCACACUGGGACUGAGACACGGCCCAGACUCCUACGGGAGGCAGCAGUGGGGAAUAUUGGACAAUGGGCGAAAGCCUGAUCCAGCAAUGCCGCGUGAGUGAUGAAGGCCUUAGGGUUGUAAAGCUCUUUUACCCGGGAUGAUAAUGACAGUACCGGGAGAAUAAGCUCCGGCUAACUCCGUG